AUGGCCCCCACCACUCCACCCAUCCAGCGCGUCACCAUCCGCCAAAUUCAUCCGGCGCGCCACCACCUCCUGCUCCCGCGGCGCCCAACCACCCCACCCCCGCGUACCACCUUCUUCCCCUUCCCGCUUGCGCCGCCGCAGCACCACCUCCAACCACCUCCCCUCCCCAGCCCAACUGCCCCUGCACUGGCCAGCCACCGGAUCGGCCUAUCGCCAUCCUCACACGCGUGGCCGGCGUCGGAUCCAUGCAUCGCCGCCCCUCCCAACCACAGGGUCGAGGGGCUGCUGGAUCCUCCCCGUGGUCGUCCUCCCGCGGCUUCCCGACGACGGAUGCGCCUAGCGGGCCCGAGUGAGCUCGGGGGUCACCGGCGACUCUCUCCUCCCCGUUCCUCCACCUCCUCCCCCCAUCCCGCUGCAUUGUACCUGGGCUUCUUCCUCUCCGACCACGGCCCAAAAUUCCCGACCCUCGCACUGCCCUGGGGUUCUCCUCUCUGUCCAUGGCCAGACGCAGGCCGGGGCGUCCUUGGCCACCACGCCACCCCUCCCUUACCUUCCCCCUCCAAGGCCAUGCGCCCCUUCCCCGCCAUCAACGGCGAGGUCAAGGGCCGAAGCUUGGGUUGGAGUUCAUCAGGCGUGACGCUGCAGUUCCUUUUUUCUUUUUUUAUAAAUCGUUUUUCCUGUAGAUGGGAAUGGGUCGUGGUCUCCUCGCCGAGUUGGUGGCCAUCGACGGCAGACUCUGGCGACCUGAUGCGUGCCACCGCGCUUCGGCCACUUCCAGCGGUGCCACUGGCCAUGCCCCUACUCCUCCUCAACCCCCUGAACCUCUGCCCUCCCCUUCACCAGCGCCUGCUCUGGCCGCCCACCGCUCCCCUGCAACCGAAGCAGUUCUUCCGAGCGACCCCCGAAGCUCUCUCCUCCCCCAUGUGCAGAUCACCGACAACACGCCCCUUCCUUGCCGCAUUUUAUUUGGGCAACGCCAGUAGACAUCGCCUGUUGUUGCAGUCCAUCCCACGACACCUUCAAAGCAGUGCAACAACGUGCGUUCCCAUGGCGUCCUUUAUGCAGUGCGGAUGGGCGAGGCUUGCAUUUUACUUGGUGUGGACAGAAGGUUCUCUAGCUGCGUGA
rnacentral:rRNA from 1 species